GACGAACGCUGGCGGCGUGCUUAACACAUGCAAGUCGAACGGAAAGGCCCUGCUUGCCGGGUACUCGCGUGGCGAACGGGUGAGUAACACGUGGGUGAUCUGCCCUGCACUUCGGGAUAAGCCUGGGAAACUGGGUCUAAUACCGGAUAGGAGCCAUUUUUAGUGUGAUGGUUGGAAAGUUUUUUCGGUGUAGGAUGAGCUCGCGGCCUAUCAGCUUGUUGGUGGGGUAAUGGCCUACCAAGGCGGCGACGGGUAGCCGGCCUGAGAGGGUGGACGGCCACAUUGGGACUGAGAGACGGCCCAGACUCCUACGGGAGGCAGCAGUGGGGAAUAUUGCACAAUGGGCGCAAGCCUGAUGCAGCGACGCCGCGUGGGGGAUGACGGCCUUCGGGUUGUAAACGCCUUUCGCUAGGGACGAAGCGUUUUGUGACGGUACCUAGAGAAGAAGCACCGGCUAACUACGUG
rnacentral:rRNA from 1 species